ACUUGGAAUAAAUGCCAUUUUUGUUUGUUUGUUUGUUUUUGUUUUAAUCAGAGCUUAUAAGGCAUUGUAGGAUCUGGCCUGCCCUGACUCCACUUUACCAGAACCAUCUGCUGCUCUUCUCUCUUGUGUUACUCAAGGUAUUAGCUGCUGUGGCAAAUCAACUCUGAAAUCUCCGUGGCUUAAUACAAGAGAGGUUUAUUUCUUAUUCACACUGGUGCACUGCCACUUGGUAACAGAGGAGCUAUGGAAACUUGAGACCUAAGCAGAAAUGAGUUCAAUAAUAUUGCUACACUCUAGGACUUUCUCCAAAAUUAACAACAGAACAAAAGUGCAAGGCAGUGAUAACCCAUCUGACAGCAUUUGGGGAGUGUUUGUGAAAGCAAUGGUGAUGGAGGUUUUAAAAGAAUGUCAGUCAUAUAAGCAAGAAUGUUGAUGAACAUAGCUUGGGACCAAGACGCCUUCAUUUUGAUCCCAAGGCCUGCUGACAAUGUGCUGAAAGGAAAGACGAUCUUCAAUUUUUUAAAAAACAGGAAUGAUUUGGUGUGUUUGUUCUUAACA
rnacentral:lncRNA from 1 species